GACGAACGCUGGCGGCGUGCUUAACACAUGCAAGUCGAACGGAAAGGCCCUGCUUUUGUGGGGUGCUCGAGUGGCGAACGGGUGAGUAACACGUGAGUAACCUGCCCUUGACUUUGGGAUAACUUCAGGAAACUGGGGCUAAUACCGGAUAGGAGCUCCUGCUGCAUGGUGGGGGUUGGAAAGUUUCGGCGGUUGGGGAUGGACUCGCGGCUUAUCAGCUUGUUGGUGGGGUAGUGGCUUACCAAGGCUUUGACGGGUAGCCGGCCUGAGAGGGUGACCGGCAACAUUGGGACUGAGAUACGGCCCAGACUCCUACGGGAGGCAGAAGUGGGGAAUAUUGCACAAUGGGCGGAAGCCUGAUGCAGCAACGCCGCGUGCGGGAUGACGGCCUUCGGGUUGUAAACCGCUUUCGACUGUGACGAAGCGUGAGUGACGGUAAUGGGUAAAGAAGCACCGGCUAACUACGU
rnacentral:rRNA from 1 species